UACAGCUCCCGGCAUGCAUCGCUCACCCCGACCGCCGGAUGGCCAAGGGGACUACAGCUCCCGGCAUGCUUGGCUUCGCUGGGGCACUCGCAGUUGAGGGAGACUUGAACUUGGUCAAACUUUCCCACGCAACCAGCCCAAGACGGGCCCUAGGCUGACUUUAGGCCGGAGACCAUUCAGCAUACGGGGCUGAAGCCUCGCUCUAGGUUGAGACAGCCCCUGGGUGCUGUUGGGGGAGGCUUAUCCUACUGGGCCAUGAUGGGGGAGGGGGGGAGAAGCGGCGCUGCUGCAAUGUUUCUGGCGUGCGUGGAGUCGUUCCGGCCCUUCCCCCACAUUUGGGCCCUUCUUUCAGGGGGCUAGGAACCCCCCCUCUGCCCCCCCCCGGCCCUAGGUGAGAAGGCAAGAAGCUGAGGUUUGUGUGUAGUGUGGAGCAACAGCAGGGCCACUUGCGGUCCAGUUGUGGGCAAACCAGAGGGCCAGCCCCUCUUGGCUAGUGGCCAAUGCCCGGUGAGCCAGAGAGAACAGGUAAUCAUCUACCUCUCCAUCCUGUCACCCAUUCCUAACUCCUGCCAAACAGAAGCUAGGGAUACUAUUGCUGCCUGUGCUGGCUAAUAGCUACUGAUGGACCUAUCCUCCAUGAAUUUAUCUAGUUCUUUGUUUUGAACCCUCUUAUAGUCUUGGCUAUCACAUCAUCCUCAGGCAAGGAUUUCCAGAGAUUGACUAUGCAUUGUGAGAAAAAAAUACUUCCUUGGGGUUGUUUAAAACCUGCUGCCUAUUCCUGCCUGGGCCAGGAACGGUACAACUACAUUGAAUGUGAAGACGAGGUCAGAGGCAUCCUGUCACCUACAGCAGCGGAGCGAACGUUGACGAGUACAUAAGGGAGCGGUAGUUCCAAGGUGGCAGCGUACUAGGAGCUGUAGUCUUUUUCUUUGAUCUAAAAUGGAACAUUGCAUAGUAGGAGGUGUAGGUGGUCCACCCCUAAUCUAAAAAGCAGCAUGGGUGUCAGCUACUCUAUUUAACCCAAGUGAGGUACAGGCACCCCACCACUUCCCAGAUACAGUAGGUGCUCACUUUCAUCAGAGGAGAGCUGUAGUUUUUGUGGACAAGGAGUCCAUCUUACAACCUAACAUUGGGGCAUAAGCUUUUGUGGGUAAAAAGCCCACUUCUUCAGAUGCAUGACCUGAAAAUUACACACACACAUGCUGCAUCUGUAAUUUUCACACUAUGCAUCUGAAGAAGUGGGGUUUUUACCCAUGAAAGCUUAUGCCCAAAUAAAUCUGUUAAUCUUUGAAGUGGCACCUGCCUCAUUGUUUUUGUGGAUACAGACUAACAUGGCUACCCCUUGAUAUUUGACAGCUAGAGGCCAGUAGCUCUCAACCUUUCCAGACUACUAUACCUCUUUCAGGAGUCUGAUUUGUCUUAUGUACCCCAAAUUUCACCUGACUUAAAACUACUUGCUUACAAAAUCAGACAUAAAAAUACAGAAGUGUUACAGUACACUAUUACUGACAAAUUACUUAUAUUUCUUAUUUUUAUCAUAUAAUUAUAAAAUAAAUUAAUUGGAAUAUAAAUAUUGUGCUUACAUUUCUGUGUAUAGAAAAGUAUAAACAAGUCUUUGUAUGAAAUUUUAGUUUGUACUGACUUUGCUAGUGCUUUUUCUGUAGCCUGUUAAACUAGGCAAGUAUCUAGAUGAGUUGAUGUACCCUCAAGGCUAUAUGUAGCCCUGGUUAGGAAUCACUGCCAUAGUCUAUAGCUAGGAAGAGAAUUUAUAUCCUAGACCAAGUUUCACAUACUCCAGAGUGAUUUUUAAUGUUUAGUUUGAAUUACUCACUGUACCAUUUAGCAUCAACAAGAGCCCUCAGAGGGGAGAUGAGAUUGUAAACUCUGCACAGAAGGAAGUAGCAUUUUGGGUUGUUUUAAUUGUUAUUGUAUAUAGCCCACAACAGCAUCCUGGCCUACCAGUAGCAACCCUUUAUACUAUUGUAAUACAAAUAAUUAAUUAGUUUAAAACCGUUUAACAUCCUUAGAUGGAAGGAAAUAUUGCAUUGUAAUUACAUGGGUGUUAGGGCACAGGUUUACACCCAAACAACCCAAUAUUAAGUGUUCCAGUUCCUGUCCUGCUGAACUUUACCUUUUUUUUCCCCAAAUAAAAUAGUAAGGAACUUUUAAUAAAGUUCCUACUUAGAAAGCUGCUAUUGUAUACUUCAAGAGAAUGAAAAACUGCAAUAAAGAAAAAUAUAGAAUUUAAUUGGUCCCUGCUGAGGAGUUUUAGGGAUUGGAGAGUUUUAAGUAUUGACUUUGAAAUAGCAGCCAGUGUGUUAUACACUCUGACUACAGAGCUUCUGCCUGAAAGAGCAUACAGUCUUAUACGCACGCAAAGGGUAGAAUAUUAAAAAAUAAGGCCUAUCAGUUUAUGGAGACUUCUUUUUCUCUGCUUAUUCAGUAUUUGAAGUUGAGGGCCAUCAUCAUCAUUAGCUUUUAGCAUGGUUAAGAUUACGGAUUGCUGUUCUGUAAGAAGUCUUGCUUUAAAACUCUUUUACUGUUCUGCUGUAUAAGUAAGGAAUUUAUGGCACACUGACAAAUAAAAAAUAAAAAACGCCAGUACCAAAUGGAUCAAAUGGUCAAAAGGGAAGUGAAGAAACCAAAAGGUGCCAACCUAAUUAUCAGAAUUGCUCUGAUGGCUGAAGCAGCAGCAAACUAACAACCCUAAAGCAAAGGCAUACGCUCCCAAGAAUAAAAAUAAGUAGUAAAAAUAAAAAAAUUCAGCAACUCCCAGUAACAACCCAAAAUAAUGCUAAUUGAAAGCAACCUUAACUGUUGCCUUUUAACAACCUCAGCAUAACACAGCAAGGCUCAAACUUGCAUGGCAACUUAUUACUAUAAAAAAAAGGGUGGAUUACCAUGGGACUUUAGGUUCGUUCUGCAUUGACAUCGGAGCUUUGGACAUGUCAGACAGAGACCCAGCUCCGCCCUCUCCCUCGUGUGUAGUUUCAGCUGGCCACUGGAACUGACCAAGCAAUACUAAGAACUGGUAACUAUAAGAUCCAGCUGCAGAACCUUUGGUUGGUGUGUGUAUGCUAAUUUUAAUGUUUAAAUUGUACUUUCAAUAAAUGCAGCGUAUUGCCUUAUCCCCUAAAAAAA